AAGGCUUGACAUGGACCGGACCGGGCUGGAAACAGUCCUUCCCCUUUGGGGCUGGUUCACAGGUGGUGCAUGGCUGUCGUCAGCUCGUGUUGUGAAAUGUUGGGUUAAGUCCCGCAACGAGCGCAACCCUCGUUCUAUGUUGCCAGCGCGUGAUGGCGGGGACUCAUAGGAGACUGCCGGGGCCAACUCGGAGGAAGGUGGGGAUGACGUGUAACCGAAUCU
rnacentral:misc_RNA from 1 species